rnacentral:rRNA from 1 species
ACACAUGCAAGUCGAGCGGAAAGGCUCCUUCGGGGGUACUCGAGCGGCGAACGGGUGAGUAACACGUGAGUAAUCUGCCCUUGGCUUCGGGAUAGCCACCGGAAACGGUGAUUAAUACCGGAUACGACACAUCACUGCAUGGUGCGUGUGUGGAAAGUUUUUUCGGCCAGGGAUGUGCUCGCGGCCUAUCAGCUUGUUGGUGGGGUAAUGGCCUACCAAGGCUUCGACGGGUAGCCGGCCUGAGAGGGUGACCGGCCACACUGGGACUGAGACACGGCCCAGACUCCUACGGGAGGCAGCAGUGGGGAAUAUUGGACAAUGGGCGGAAGCCUGAUCCAGCAACGCCGCGUGAGGGAUGACGGCCUUCGGGUUGUAAACCUCUUUCAGCACAGACGAAGCGCAAGUGACGGUAUGUGCAGAAGAAGGACCGGCCAACUACGUGCCAGCAGCCGCGGUAAUACGUAGGGUCCGAGCGUUGUCCGGAAUUAUUGGGCGUAAAGGGCUCGUAGGCGGUUUGUCGCGUCGGGAGUGAAAACACCGGGCUUAACUCGGUGCUUGCUUCCGAUACGGGCAGACUAGAGGCAUUCAGGGGAGAACGGAAUUCCUGGUGUAGCGGUGAAAUGCGCAGAUAUCAGGAGGAACACCGGUGGCGAAGGCGGUUCUCUGGGAAUGUCCUGACGCUGAGGAGCGAAAGUGUGGGGAGCG